rnacentral:rRNA from 1 species
GACGAACGCUGGCGGCGCGCUUAACACAUGCCAGUCGAACGGAAAGGCCUGCUUUCCCUUGUGGAUUGCGGGUACUCGAGUGGCGAACGGGUGAGUAACACGUGAGUGGUCUGCCCCCAACUUGGGUAUAAGCCUGGGAAACUGGGUCUAAUUCCCGAUAGGACUGCAGGGUGGUGCCUGUGGUGGAAAACGAUUUUCUAGUGGUUGGGGAUGAGCUCGCGGCCUAUCAGCUUGUUGGUGGGGUAAUGGCCUACCAAGGCGGCGACGGGUAGCCGGCCUGAGAGGGUGGACGGCCACAUUGGGACUGAGAUACGGCCCAGACUCCUACGGGAGGCAGCAGUGGGGAAUAUUGCACAAUGGGCGGAAGCCUGAUGCAGCGACGCCGCGUGGGGGAUGACGGCCUUCGGGUUGUAAACUCCUUUCGACCGCGAGGAAGCCACCUGGUUGGAAGGGUGGUGACGGUAGUGGUAGAAGAAGCACCGGCUAACUACGUG